rnacentral:sRNA from 1 species
GCCAGGCAUGGUGGCGCAUGCCUGUAAUCCCAGCAGCUCAGGAGGCUGAGGAAGGAGUAUUACAGAUUUGAAGCCAGCCUUGGCAAUUUAGUGAGACCAUAAGCAACCUAGUGAGACCUAGUCUCAA